UACAGAGGUCCCAAGCGUUGUUCGGAUUCAUUGGGCGUAAAGGGUGCGUAGGCGGCGCGGUAAGUCGGGUGUGAAAUCUCGGAGCUUAACUCCGAAACUGCAUUCGAUACUGCCGUGCUUGAGGACUGGAGAGGAGACUGGAAUUUACGGUGUAGCGGUGAAAUGCGUAGAUAUCGUAAGGAAGACCAGUGGCGAAGGCGGGUCUCUGGACAGUUCCUGACGCUGAAGCACGAAGGCCUGGGGAGCAAACGGG
rnacentral:rRNA from 1 species